rnacentral:rRNA from 1 species
AAGGUAACGGCUUACCAAGGCAACGAUGCAUAGCCGACCUGAGAGGGUGAUCGGCCACACUGGAACUGAGACACGGUCCAGACUCCUACGGGAGGCAGCAGUAGGGAAUCUUCCGCAAUGGGCGAAAGCCUGACGGAGCAACGCCGCGUGAGUGAUGAAGGUCUUCGGAUCGUAAAACUCUGUUAUUAGGGAAGAACAUAUGUGUAAGUAACUGUGCACAUCUUGACGGUACCUAAUCAGAAAGCCACGGCUAACUACGUGCCAGCAGCCGCGGUAAUACGUAGGUGGCAAGCGUUAUCCGGAAUUAUUGGGCGUAAAGCGCGCGUAGGCGGUUUUUUAAGUCUGAUGUGAAAGCCCACGGCUCAACCGUGGAGGGUCAUUGGAAACUGGAAAACUUGAGUGCAGAAGAGGAAAGUGGAAUUCCAUGUGUAGCGGUGAAAUGCG